AUGAUGAGGAACCGGAUGUUGAUCCAUAUGUACAACAGACAUCAACGGGAAGCACUCCAUCACGCCGUGCUCCAAAAAGGAAGAGACGAGUUUCACCUGAGGAGGAAAAAGAAGAAGAAGAUGAGGAGGAGGAGGAGGAAGAGGAGGAGGAGGACAAAGAAAAAGAGGACAAAGGAGAUGAGGAGGGCAAGGAAGAAGAUACAAUUGAUGGUGGUGAGGGGGAAGGAGAUGACAAGGAAGAAGACGAGGAUGCCAAUCCUGAUGAUCAAGAGGGAUCCAAGGGAGGUAGUGACAACUCCGACGAUGAUGAUGAAAAUGCCCCUGGUUCUAGUGGUACAGGCGGCAACACAACCAGGGUGA
rnacentral:rRNA from 1 species